AGUAAUGAAGACAACAUCCAAAGGAAAACAGGAUUCUCUCACAGAGUCAUCUGUAGCUCCUUUCAGUAAAGCAUUAUUUUCAAUAGUGACCAAUGGAUAAAGAAAACGUGGCACACAAUGAUAUAGCUUGAUAAAGGAGAACACCCUGGCAUUGACCACAACAGAAAUGAAUGUACAGGACUUUGUGUUAAGUGACAUAAGUCAGGCACAAAAAGAACAAUGCCUAAGCCAUUAUAAAUACAUAACAAGAGCUACUAUCGUUAAUGAUGUCAGCAUCAGCGUGAUGCCAUUAGUCUUUUCUGGAACAAUGGGGGUUGGUGGUCCAAAGGAAGUCUGACAAGAAAGACUGACUACGGCUGUGUCUCCUAAACUAUUCUAAAUCUGUUCAAGCUGGCAGUGAAGAUUAACCAUCACACUCUGUAGACCUCACAGUGACAUGCCAAGGGAUGGAAGCUUCCUUCUCUUCAGUUGACCAUGCUCCAUAAAUUUUACCGAAAUACUGGCUAUGGUUCCCGGUGAACAUGACCUAGAGAAGUGCUUUCCAGAACUUGCGUGGGUGUG